AACGAACGCUGGCGGCGUGCUUAACACAUGCAAGUCGAACGGUAAGGCCCUUCGGGGUACACGAGUGGCGAACGGGUGAGUAACACGUGGGUGAUCUGCCCUGCACUUCGGGAUAAGCCUGGGAAACUGGGUCUAAUACCGGAUAGGACUCCUGGCUUCAUGGUUGGGGGUGGAAAGCUUUUGCGGUGUGGGAUGGGACCGCGGCCUAUCAGCUUGUUGGUGGGGUAAUGGCCUACCAAGGCGACGACGGGUAGCCGGCCUGAGAGGGUGACCGGUCACACUGGGACUGAGAUACGGCCCAGACUCCUACGGGAGGCAGCAGUGGGGAAUAUUGCACAAUGGGCGCAAGCCUGAUGCAGCGACGCCGCGUGAGGGAUGACGGCCUUCGGGUUGUAAACCUCUUUCAGCUAUGACGAAGCGCAAGUGACGGUAGUAGCAGAAGAAGGACCGGCCAACUACGUGCCAGCCGCCGCUGUAAUAC
rnacentral:rRNA from 1 species